AACCACUGAAACAUUUAUCGUUAAACAUGUUUUAAAUCUUCAUUAUUUUACCUAUUAAUGUUUUGUGCAUCGUAAAAAUCAAAUAACAGUCACUAAAGAGACAUUGCGUCAUAGUGUCUGCCCCCUUGUUUUUCUACCGUUAAUUGGUCUACAAGACGAGCCGCCAUCUUUGUUUGGUUUAGAAGAGAUUUGCAACUUGUCAACAGUUAAAAGUCUUCUUCAUUGUGCACCAGGAAGUAUAUUUUUCGGGGUUAAGCUGGGUAGAAGAAUAGUUUUUGGAAACCUGGAAAUGUACUCAAGCUAUUGCUCCUACAGGAAUUCAUCAUCAGAGCACCUCAGGAGCAUGUAAAGAAAACCCUACAUAUAAAAACAGAUGUGAACAGGUAAAACACAGCAGCACGGUCUCUUUGGCGGCGAUUCUUGAACCAGUUGCCGACCUGUGUGGGCGUGAGUCCAGUGGCCUGGGCCAAAUGCCGUUUCCUGGACGGGUUGGGGUAGGGAUCUUGGAGGUACCACUCUCUCAGCAAACUGCGAGUUCUUUCCUGGAGAAGACAGAAGAAAUAUUUGUCUUAUUUAGACCUCCAUGCAUAGCUCUGUGUGUCUCAUAUAUUAUGUCAGCGCUUUCUUUCUGUCGAUGCUGCACUUUGUAGAGAUACCAUAUGGUGGCUUACCACAAUAAUGUGGUUCGUAUUGCUUUGAUAUCAUCCUAUUAAACCACAAUAAUCGUAUCACUCUCAUAUGAUGCUCAGUAUAAUCUUGUUAGAUUAGAUUUAUAAACAGAUGAUCACAAUUUACAUUGUAAGUAUAGCCUACAUAAAAAUGUAUAUCCACUAAAUUGGAUCAUGGUAAGGGGCUUAAUAGGCGGCUACAGAGGAUGUCCCUUCUGAGGUUUGGAAUUAGAGAUUAAGUAUGAGCAGUACUUCACCCUGCCACAAGAGGGAGAUCACACAGACUAACACACACCCAAGAGGCAAAGUUCAUGCUCUCUCACCAUGCGCUAUCUUGAACCCUGUAAGCAGCUCUUUUUUCUCCCUUAUGAAUAUUAACGAACGGAGUAGUGUUAUCAUAACUUUGAGUUACAAAGUCUGCUUCCACAGUUACACCACCAACAGUCUCAUGACACUGAAACACAAGUGUUUUGUAAACAAGAUGAUACUCAAGGUGCUCUGCACAUCAGGGCAUUACAGGUUAUUAUUUUGUGACAGGAAGAAUAUUUUUGUAAAAAAAAAAGGCGUUAGUGGUUUAAACAGGAGACGCUUUUCUGUAACUGACUGCAUCAUAUAACAGUCGUCCAGCUAAAUAAAAGUCAGCAGGUAGAUGGAAGGAAUGUCCCCAGGGUAGCAGAUAUAUGGCUGAUUCAGACUCCUGCAGGUCUGUGCUCAUAGCCACUUAAAGUAUUUGAAAGUAAUAGCUGCUAGUUAAAGAUAAAAUGAAGCUAAUGAAUCCUGUGGGGAAAUCUUCCCUUUGCAGCUGCAGACAGUAAAUGUUAGAGCAAAGAACAGAAUGUGAAUAAGAAGAGAGAAAUUAUGCUGAAGUGUCAAUUUUAACACAAUAUUAGAGAUAAACGA